rnacentral:lncRNA from 1 species
CAAGAGUGUUCAGGUCAAACGUGAGGUCCCAGAGCCAGGCGGCCUGCGUUCAGCCCAGCUCUGCCACUUGCGAGCCGCGUAGCUUAGUCGUCAGGAUUAACCUCUCGAUACCCCCGUUUUCGUUUUGUCAAAUGCAAGGCGUGAGAGUACCCACCUCCCAAGACUGGGAACCAGCGCGAGGCAAGUGGAACGCUGAGCACAGUGCCUGGUACAGAAGAAGCUCUAGCAAACGGAGAGCUCUUGUUAUUAUUGUGGCUAUACUUAGACUCUGUUGUCAUUAUCCUCAGAGUCUGUUCCUGCAAGGGUACAGCCUCAGCAACAGAAAUCUGCACCCCGAUCAAGCCACGCUGUUCCUCCAAAACGCUCGUGGUUACCAGAUUUGACCUGCCGUAGAAAAUCUGGCUCGCCGGGCCCAGCACCAGGGCUGGGACGUUGCCUUCCUCCUUCACAGCGGUCACUGGAAGUUUAUAUAUAGCUUCAUGCUUGAGGGCACUGCUUUCAACUCCAGCUCCACCCUCGCUCACUGUGUGACAGCCUGCAAGCCUCGGAACGGAACGGCUCCUACCUGCAACUCCUCCGUCAAGCGGAUCGCUGGACAUGUGAAAAUAAACGUGGAAAAGGUUGGCUUAGCACAGGGCCCGGUGCCUCAAGAGGCCUCCAUCAGAGGCGGCUGAACCAUAACCCAUGGUCUCACGGGGGCCCCACCAGAGCUCUAGGGUACGAGGAAGGGCAGGGCUCUUGUCAGCAUUGUCAUCAGCGGCACACGAGAGCCUGGGCCCGGAGAGGGGCGAGGCCCACCUGCUCCAACUCCAUCAGUGCUGAGGGGGCACCUGCUGUCUGGCUCGGCGCCCUUGCCCCUUUCCUGGUGACAGAACCCAGAUUUUCCGUCACAGAACGGCUCCUCCCCACCGGGGGGACAACCCCGGGGACAGGCUCUGUCCAUAGGAGCAUCGCAGGUGUCCCCCCGGCCCAGCGAGGAGGGCAGGGAGGGCCAGGGGGUUACGUCUGUCCAAUGAGACUCGACUCUAAGAUCUCUGCUUCGGUUUUUGAGAACAGGAUUAUCUCGUUUCUGCUGGG